CAUGCUUGCAGCCAGAUUCAGGCGAGUUCAUGUUUUAUGUGUUUAUUAAUUAAAUAAAUUCUAUUGUGUUGUCGUCCUCGCUAAACUUUGUCAUGUUCUCUCUCUCUCUCUCCAUCUCGGUGUGUCUCGGAUGAACCCCCCCAUGCGGUGAUGAGCACGACUGCUCCCAGAUUCAGCCCCCAUGUGGCGAUGAGCACGACUGCCGCUAAAUUCAGCCCCCCUGCUGAUGAACUGACAAGCACGACUGCAGCCAGAUUCAGUGAUGAGCACGUCUGCCGCUAAAUUCAGCCCCCCUGCUGAUGAACUGACAAGCACGACUGCAGCCAGAUUCAGUGAUGAGCACGACUGCCGCUAAAUUCAGCCCCCCUGCUGAUGAACAGACAAGCACGACUGCAGCCAGAUUCAGUGAUGAGCACGUCUGCCGCUAAAUUCAGCCCCCCUGCUGAUGAACUGACAAGCACGACUGCAGCCAGAUUCAGCCCCCCUGCUGAUGAACAGACAAGCACGACUGCAGCCAGCUUCAGUGAUGAGCACGUCUGCCGCUAAAUUCAGUCCCCCUGCUGAUGAACUGACAAGCACGACUGCAGCCAGAUUCAGGCUUGUUAUUCGGUCUCCACUCCUUCAUCUGUGUUAAAGUAGGAACCAAAAGACUCCGGAGAUCAAAGAUGCAGAUCGUCGGUCCCGACGGCUCGGCGUGCGAAGUAGGUGCAAGUGGAGUCGUAGCUGACCGUCAUCGUUUCUCUCUCCCUCGUGUGCGUCUCAUGUGCCUCCGACUCGAGCGUCCGACCCGGCGUCUCGGCAGCACUCUGUGUGAGGUUCGUUCCGGCAUGGACCGAGUGGGAUUAUCGGCGACGUGGAGCGUGAGCGGUUUCCUGCAGCGGAAAUGUUUAUAUGUCGUGUGGUUUCUCGAAACUUAAAUAAAGACCGAACCUCGACAUGG